AAACAUGCAAAGUGAAACACAAGAAUAAUACUAAUCCCAUAUGGCCUCAAACCUUUGAGCAUAAAUAAAACACCUUUUAUUUAUCACCAUAUCGAUUACUCAUUAUUUGUUGUUUCGGGUAAUCAACUUCUUACUUGAAUUAUUACACUUGUCCCAUGCUCUUAUCAUGCACACAAUGUUUACCUACGGUUCUUACUUUGUGAAAUAGAUCAAAUGAACACAUUUCCAAUCAUAAUCAUUUCACAACUCCUAAUCCAUUUUCAUAAGUGAAAGAAUAUCAAAUUCUUGCCACAUAUGGAAUAUGUUAGAUUCUAACAUUUUAUGCAAUGAUCCUUUUGUAAUAUCACUACACUGAAGUCACAAUGACUAUUGCCAAUGAAAUUACAAAGUCCUUUAUCGGAGAUUGUUACAAGACAAUUCCAUAGAUGUGAUGUCUCUCACUCAAAGUACAUUCCUUUUAACAUCCUUUUGCAUAAAAUUUCUAAUCUAGACAUUGAUUCUCAAUAUCCAAUUCCCAAUAUGGAAACCUUUCCAUACUUACCAUAUGACAACUCAUUCUCAAUAGAAUCUUAUCUAUUCAUAAUAAUAUCGAUAUGGUCCAUCCAAUAUCAUACUUCCAACUACUCACAAGCGACUAAUCCUCAGCGAACUUUGGAUUAUCCUUUGAUAGUUGUUUAAUUAUCUUAGUCAAAAUCGAUUGUAGUCCUUUUUCCCUCUAAAUGCACUAGAAAUUUAGAAAAUUUUUAGAAUGGUCAAGAAUUACAGCAUUUGCAAUCUAUCCUAUACCCGAAGCAUAUGGGACACGAUGCAUAAUGUCUUACUUAAAGAUUUGAUACUUUAUCAAUCUUCUGCCAUAAUAUCUUAUGUUUCACGUUCUUAUGAUUCGAAUUAUGAUGAGGAAUGUCGUAAUCAUAAUCAAAAUUUAAGAACACACUAUGUAUGUUUGACUAAAAAUAUUAACAUUCCACAACCUAAGCCUUUAGAUUUGAAAUGAAGCAUAAUAUUCUCUCCCUUAAUUAUAGAAAACCAACUAUUCAACCCUUACAACUUUGCAAAGUAUGACUCUUGUUUUCUAUAAUUAAUAUUGCUAACUUGCAAUACCUGCCUUAAAAAUCAUACAAUCAUAACAUUUAUGCUCCCAUUAUCAUGAUGAUUAUUAUAAACAUAACACUUAUGCUCCCACUAGCUUUGACACAUAUUCAGAAACAGCUUAACUUUCAGCAAAAUAAUGCCUAUUUAAUUUCUUUAAGUUCAUAUUUCUAAUACCCAAUGCUUUGAUAAUCUUUUAUCAAGGCUUUAUAAACUUAUACACCUUUGCCUUAGAUAGUUCAUGUGUGUGUCUUAAACAAUUCAGACUAAUUGCCAAAUCUCACAAUUCGAAUCAUGGAAAGGGAUACCGUAACCAUAAUCGAAUUUGAGAGUACAAUUUUCACAAUUGCUAUCUUCUUAAGAUCUAUCUUAGUGAAAGCAUUUCCUUACAAUCAUUUUCAUGAAGGAGGGAAUCUUAUGACACUUAGAUUUUAUGGUGUAUGAGUUCCUAUCCAUGUGAAUUUGCCAAAACCAAAGUUUGUGACAAAUCCAAGCUCAUAUGGACUGAACUUUCNUCAGACUAAUUGCCAAACCUCACAAUUCAAAUCAUGGAAAGGGAUACCGUAACCAUAAUCGAAUUUGAGAAUCCAAUUAUCACAAUCUCUAUAUUAUUAAAAUCUCUUUUAGUGAAAGCAUUUUCUCACAGUCAUUUUCAUGAAGGAGAGAAUCUUAUGACACUUAGAUUUUAAUGGUGUAUGUGUUCCUAUCCAUGCGAAUUUAUCAAAACAAAGUUUACGACAAAUUCAAACUCAUAUGGAUCGAACUUUCUUAAUCUUGAUUUCUUGCCUUAUGGUAACUCGGCUGCCCACCAUGUCUUCCAAGUAGUUAAGCAUCUCACCCUGUCCCAUCAAUGUACUUCUCAUUCCUUGCCUUUUAUGCAUUCAAAUGAGAACUCAUAGAACUAACAUGCAUAAUUAACUAGAUUGGAAUGGCACAGAAACAAGAUAAUGUCAACACGAUAGGUUGUAAACCUCUACUCAUGUGCUAGUGAUGAUCGAUAAGGUUUAUUCUUGAUUUGUUCUUGAAACUUUUCAAGACCAUUAAGACUCCCACUGACUCCUUGACAUAUAAGAUUCUUCUAUCAAUGAGCAUUUCUUGACAAACAAAUAUUCAAGAGUUAGUGUAGUUUUUAUCAAGAUAAAACACUUCAUAAAUUGGUCCUAGUUGGUCUUUGUCUUAUCCAAGACAUCACAACUUUCCAACUUCAAAUAUGGAAGAAUAAGAAAACCUUUUUCCAAAUUCUGCAUUUGAUGAAUGUUUUAAACUUUCUUAAGACUUGUCACUCAAUGUCACAAUCUUAACUUUAAGACUUGUUUUGGAACGAAUUAUGAUUGGCUUCUUGAUUUAACCAUUUCUUCAAUUCUCGAUUCCUCUUCUUAGACAUACAAUUGCACAAAGACUCACUUAGAGGAUCAAUUUAGAUAUGGUUCUCAAUCAUUAAGACCUACCAUAAAACAUAAAAGGUACUCUCCCUUCUUCUUAGAAUAGAGAAACUUUUAUCUUUCUGCCUACUUGAUUCUUCUUAUUCGUUUUGCUAUUGAUUUAAACCUUUUCAAUCAAUUCAAAAUUAUACUUAAUCUUAUAAGUAUAAUCAUAUUUACUAAACCUUUAGUAAAUCAUGACGAAUAUCUUUGUUACUCUUAUGGUGGACUUGAUCAACACACAACUUUAUGUACUCGAUCUCCUAGUCCUUCACUUGACACUUUGUCAACGACUUAGUCUAAUUUCCAAAUAUGAAAUUUCUCAUUCAUCGUGCAACCAAGUUGCAUGAUUCCAAGUUUCUGUCCAAUUGAAACUUGGGCGAUGAGAAACUCUCCCUAUUUGGUAAAUUCUCGACAUUUCCACAAUUAACAUAAUUAAGAAUCACAUCCAUUCGUUGUAGAAAUAUGCAAACAUCAAUUUUUCAUAACGAUUUCAUUGCAAGGAAAUAAAUAAAUAAAUAAAUGAGUAAAAUCAAAUUUUAUUUUAUUCAUAAAAGCAGCGGAAAACAUUUCUCCUUACAAUGAAAAUCAACUCAAAAAAACUAUGUAAUCAAAUAUUUCUAUCAUAACUUUCUAAGCUCAAAUCUAAUCUUCGAAUCCAUGCGAUCGAGAUCCAUUUCUUCGUGAUUAGACUCAUCUUGCUUUCUCAUCAAGCUUCCUCUCUUUUCACUGAUCCUGCAAAACAUUCAAAUGCAAUCUUAUCACAUUAUGUAUUAAGAAUCAAUGAAUAGGAACUUAAUGGAGUUAGAUAGUGGAUUUUACCUGAAGCACAACCAUACUCUUUGACUCUCCCAUCUUCUGGACUCUUCAGGCUCUUAGGGCAGACUUGUAUCCAACGCCCUUUCUCUUGGCAGCAAACGCAGGUCGGUUCUCCUAGAACAUCCUCGGAAGCAUGGUUGGUUGACUUUCCCAACAAAUAUGCUCCAUUGCUUUGCCAAAUCAUUUCUGAUUCAGCAGCAAUGAGCAUGUAAGUUAGGUCAAUGAGGUUUUCGUCAUGAUCCAUCAUAUAAUACUUUCUUUUGAACUCAUUAUAUGAUUCGGGAAGUGACUGCAGAACCCAGUUCACAGCCAACUUAUCCGGGAAUGACGCACCCAACAUUAUCAACCUAUCGAUGUGUGAUUUCAUUCCUAGAACGUGGGCACACACGGGUUUACCAUCUUCAUGUUUCAUUUCCAAUAGGGCUUUAGUGACAUUGAACCUUUCAAUUCUUCGAUCUUGUGGGUUAGGGAGAAUAACGGGAGGAGGUGGAGGAAGUGAAGCAUGAUUUCUUGUUCCUCGAUCGAAUCGUGGAAUAUCAUCUUCAUGUGGAAUGCUUGUUCCACGGGAUUUGGGAAGACCAUAGUUGUCGUACUUUGACAUCUACAAAACGGGAGAAAAUAAAUUCAAGUUAGUUGAUUGAUUGAGUCCUUAAUAAAUCACCCAAAUGAGAUAUUAAGGCUAGGACCCAACACAAUACGCUACAACCUAGAAAAGGGAUGCCGUAAUCUAGUUGCAGAAUAUUUGAAGGUAAGUGAAUGACGAUUCACUAAUUUCCACCAUGAAAAACGAAAAAGAAAUUUAAGUUUUAAAUCUAUGAAAACUCCUAGAUCCUUUGAGAUUCAUUGAACCUUUCAAUGGCAUGUUUAAAUCUCGAUAUGCCCCUCUAGUUUGUGACUGGGAUGCCGAGGAUCACAAAACGGGUGUGAAUAACCAUGCAAACUUAGAUGGUGCCCUCACAUGUUAUAGUCACCUAUUCGUUGCGCCGGUAAACCACACACGCUCCACCGAACUAUGACAAACUUUGAGUCACCCUUUACUACCUUUGCAUAGAACCAUUUAGUGUGUCGGUUAACCACACGCGCUCCACUAACGUCUUCGCAAGGGCACAAAGUGUAAUUUCAUGGAAUUGCAUCAAUUCACUUUUGCCUAAAGUAACUAAGAUUAGGAAAUUUAUGAAAGCAAUUAGUUACUUUUAUACUUCAUUAUACUUAUAAUGGAAGGUUUCUGUCCUAUCCUACCCGUUCGGCUAACGACCCUCCACUAGUCAAGAGUGCAGUGGGUAAGAGUGGAUACCCAUUCAAUCGCCAUUUUAUAGGCAAUUUCCUUAAACACCCCUUAUAGACCAGCUUCGUGAAUGAGGUCUACUAACGGUAAGACUGACUUUUACUCAUAUAUAAUGUCAGACUUUUAAUGUUAUAUAUAGUAUAGGGUGUAUUUUACACUUUUAAAAUACUAGGUGGUCAAAUUUAACAAUUAUACUUUUAAUUCAAUUAAAUUGUAAACCAAAACUUUAUGGAUUUAUUAAAUCUCUUUUAAUUAUACACUUUAAUUAAUUAAUAAAACCAUAAGGGUGUGAUUUGAACUUUUUCAAAACUAUACUAGGGUUUUAGAAUUUAACAUUCCUAAAUAAAACCUUUAAUCAACUUUUAAAUUCCAAAACUUGAGGGCAAGUUUUGAAACAUUUCAAAACAUUAGGGUUUAGAAUUUAAAUAUUCAUCAAAAUUAAACUAUUAAUCAAAAUUUAAAUUCCAAAACUUGAGGGCAAGUUUUGAAACCUUUUUCAAAAAAUUAGGGUUUCAACUAUUUAAAUUUCAAAACAAAAAAACUUUUGGGGUCAAAUUUAAACUAUAAAACCUAAAGGGGAAAAUUGAAACUUUUCAUAACACAAGGAUCAAAUAACAAAUAAUAUAAAUUAAACAAUUAAUUUCAUCAUUAUCUAUAUUUGACCUAAUUUCAAUUUCUUGCAAAAUAAGUUACCCAAUUAAUACAAAUAAUCAAAUUUAAUCAUAUAAGGAAGUUAUUAUCUAAUCAAUUGGUAAUUAUCUUUUGUUUAAUCAAGGAUAUACUCAUAAAUAUGUAUAAAAUCGGAUUUUAAUGAUCUAAAACAGAUAAGGCAAGUAUCCAUGAGAAAAACAGCAAGAAAUCCUGAAAUCCCCUCUUUCUGACGCUCGAACUCGCCGAGUACCACACUGGACUCGCCGAGUUGAGGCCUACUCGCCGAGUACACUGUGGUACUCGCCGAGUUCAUCAGGCAGGGAGCUCAAAACUCGAUUUUGCAACUUGAACAAACAUACAAGGCAUCAAUACAAUAGAAACCAAUCAAGGCUCUGAUACCACUGAUGGGUUUUAGCCAUAAGAACAUCCUAUGUGCUCAUACAAACCCUAAUGCUUGGAUCUAGGUUUCUCUAUUGUACAUGCAAGUUAUCCAAGACUAUAAACCCUAAUUCUAGCAUACAAGUAAUCAUAUUAACAUAAGAAUGGGUUUAAGAUAUUACCUUGAUUGUUAUGUAGCAAUAACAAUCACAAAUCCUCCUUGUAAUGACUUUAGAAAGCUUAGAGUCACAAAUGUCACUCCUCUAAUGGUUCACAAACACCAAGAGCAAGAGGAUGAAGAGGAGAAGAGAAGGAGGCUGCCCAAAACGUGUGGAAACCCUAGACAACAAGUUCACCACGUUUUUGGGGCAUAAGGGUUCUUUAAAUAGUGAGGCUAUUAGGGUUAUCUAACAAGGAAACCCUAAUUUGGAUGCUUAAGCCCUAAGCAACCCAUGGACUCCUUUCCUUAAAGGCCUUGGACGAUUUCUAAUGGGUUUCCCCAUAGAAUUCGUCCAACCUUAUAAUAUAAGGCAAUCCAUAGCCCAAUUGCAAUUAUCUUAUAAUUACAAUUCCAGUCCCUUAAGUUUAAUUAAUCUCUUUUAGUCACUAAACUUAAUUCUUAUUAGUUCUUGACUAAUAUUAAUUAAACAAUCUGAUUUCUCCUUUAAUAUAUUAUUCUCAUAAUAUAUUAAUAAAUCAUAUUUAAUCCUUUCUCUUCAUAAUUCAUCCUAUCAAGUUGCUUUGGUGAAGGCAACCCAAAAUGACCAUGCACCAUCGGGUCAAGUACAUACCAAAAUAGUUAUGGACUUAGACACUAAUCCAACAGUCUCCCACUUGGAUAAGUCUAAUAACUAUUAUGCGUAUGACUUCAGAUCCUGAUCUGCAAUCGUAGCUUUCCAAAGCCGCUGUCAACUCUGAUCCUAUCAGAUACGCGUGUCCUUUAGAUAAGGGAUCAUAUAUUCCUCCAUUCUAGAUAUCGUAUAAGACAUAAUUUCUAGUCAUUCUCUUGGUACUAUUUCUCGACUUCCGAUUUAUGACGGCUGACUAAUUGAACAAAUCAAAUUAGCCCUAGCCUGGCCGAGCAUUUACGUUAGUCAUCACUAAAUCAUCAAGGGGCCCACAAAUAUCGCUUUUACCCUACUUUGGAUAAAAGGAACGGAUAAACUUUGAUUCAAUGCUUGCUUGCACUCACUUACCGAAUCACACACAACAAUAUGUUUUAUAACACCAAGUUACUAGUGCGUUUACAUAUUAUCAAUGUGCAACCGAUUCGCAAGAUACAACUCACACAUCUCGGUUUCAAGAAUAUAAGAUGUUAUCGUCUCACCAAUCACUCGUGAUACAAUUCAUGGAGUGAUCCAAGUGAGCGUGGGUUUAAUCCAAUGCUCAAAUCAUAUUCAUAAGCACUCAUGAACGUUGCAGCAAACAUUUGCUUAUGUCUAAUACUCUUUAGACAAUCCACACACCAAUUCACGACAGUCUUUAUUCAUACCUACUUCCAACAUAUGAACGACUGUGGCCCGUUCGAAUAAUUUGACUGUUCUAAACCAAUUAAAUUAUUCAGGAAGUCAAAACAUGCAAAGUGAAACACAAGAAUAAUACUAAUCCCAUAUGGCCUCAAACCUUUGAGCAUAAAUAAAACACCUUUUAUUUAUCACCAUAUCGAUUACUCAUUAUUUGUUGUUUCGGGUAAUCAACUUUUUACUUGAAUUAUUACAACACUUGUCCCAUGCUCUUAGCAUGCACACAAUGUUUACCUAUGGUUCUUACUUUGUGAAAUAGAUCAAAUGAACACAUUUCCAAUCAUACUCAUUUCACAACUCCCAAUCCUUUUACAAGUGUAAGAAUAUCAAAUUCUUGCCACUUAUAGAAUAUGCUAGAUUCUAACAUUGUAUGCAAUGAUCCUUUUGAAAUGUCACUGCACUAAACUCACAAUGACUAUUGCCAAUGAUAUUACAAAGUCCUCUAUCGGAGAUUGUUACAAGACAAUUCCUUAUAUAUGAUGUCUCUCACUCAAAGUACAUUCCUUUGAACAUCCUUUUGCAUAAAAGUUUCUAAUCUAGACAUAGAUUUUCAAUAUUCAAUUCCCAAUAUGGACACGCUUCCAUAUUUUCCAUAUGACAACUCAUUCUUAAUAG
rnacentral:lncRNA from 1 species